GACGAACGCUGGCGGCGUGCUUAACACAUGCAAGUCGAACGGAAAGGCCCUGCUUUUGUGGGGUGCUCGAGUGGCGAACGGGUGAGUAACACGUGAGUAACCUGCCCUUGACUUUGGGAUAACUUCAGGAAACUGGGGCUAAUACCGGAUAGGAGCUCCUGCUGCAUGGUGGGGGUUGGAAAGUUUCGGCGGUUGGGGAUGGACUCGCGGCUUAUCAGCUUGUUGGUGGGGUAGUGGCUUACCAAGGCUUUGACGGGUAGCCGGCCUGAGAGGGUGACCGGCCACAUUGGGACUGAGAUACGGCCCAGACUCCUACGGGAGGCAGCAGUGGGGAAUAUUGCACAAUGGGCGGAAGCCUGAUGCAGCAACGCCGCGUGCGGUAUGACGGCCUUCGGGUUGUAAACCGCUUCCGCCUGUGACGAAGCGUGAGUGACGGUAAUGGGUAAAGAAGCACCGGCUAACUACGUG
rnacentral:rRNA from 1 species